rnacentral:rRNA from 1 species
UACGGGGGGGGCAAGCGUUGUUCGGAAUUACUGGGCGUAAAGGGCUCGUAGGUGGCCAACUAAGUCAGACGUGAAAUCCCUCGGCUCAACUGAGGAACUGCACAGGAAACUGCUUGGCUUGAGUUCGGGAGAGGGAAGCGGAAUUCCGGGUGUAGCGGUGAAAUGCGUAGAUAUCCGGAGGAACACCGGUGGCGAAGGCGGCUUCCUGGACCGACACUGACGCUGAGGCGCGAAAGCUAGGGGAGCAAACGGG